rnacentral:rRNA from 1 species
GUGUCAGCCGCCGCGGUAAUACGUAGGGUGCAAGCGUUAAUCGGAAUUACUGGGCGUAAAGCGUGCGCAGGCGGUUAUAUAAGACAGAUGUGAAAUCCCCGGGCUCAACCUGGGAACUGCAUUUGUGACUGUAUAGCUAGAGUACGGUAGAGGGGGAUGGAAUUCCGCGUGUAGCAGUGAAAUGCGUAGAUAUGCGGAGGAACACCGAUGGCGAAGGCAAUCCCCUGGGCCUGUACUGACGCUCAUGCACGAAAGCGUGGGGAGCAAACAGGAUCAGAUACCCUAGUAGUCC